rnacentral:sRNA from 1 species
AAAAAAAAAAAAAAAAAAAACUGGGCUCCUAGCAGGGGGCACACACACCACCGAGUUCUUCCAGCCGCUUUUCCCCCGGGUUUCAGGCCCUUCUGCAGAAAAAUGUAGAGUGUGCCCGUGUGUAUGCCGAGAACGCCAUCCGCAAGAAGAACGAAGGUGUGAACUGGCUUCGGAUGGCGUCCCGCGUAGACGCGGUGGCCUCCAAGGUGCAGACGGCUGUGACCAUGAAGGGGGUGACCAAGAACAUGGCCCAGGUGACCAAAGCCCUGGACAAGGCCCUGAGCACCAUGGACCUGCAGAAGGUCUCCUCAGUGAUGGACAGGUUCGAGCAGCAGGUGCAGAACCUGGACGUCCAUACAUCGGUGAUGGAGGACUCCAUGAGCUCGGCCACCACCCUGACCACGCCACAGGAACAGGUGGACAGCCUCAUCAUGCAGAUUGCCGAGGAGAAUGGCCUGGAGGUGCUGGACCAGCUCAGCCAGCUGCCCGAGGGCGCCUCUGCCGUGGGUGAGAGCUCUGUGCGCAGCCAGGAGGACCAGCUUUCACGGAGGUUGGCCGCCUUGAGGAACUAGCCGUGCGCCGCCGCGGUGUGCCGCCUCUGCCCCGUGAUGUGCCAGAAGGCUCCUGUCCUCUCCCCACCGCGUCUUGCCUUUGUGCUGACCCUGCGGCCGGCAGCCACUCUGCGUCUCUCACCUGCCAGGCCUGCAUGGCCUCAGGGUUGUUCCUGUUCUUUUAGGUUGGGCAGUGGGUCUGUGUCCUGGUGUUGAGUUUCUGCAAAUUUCUGGGGGUGAUUU